GCUCAGUUGGUAGAGCAGCUGACUGUUAAUCAGCGGGUCACUGGUUCGAGUCCAGUUCAGGGAGCCA
rnacentral:tRNA from 1 species